GCAAAAUUAGAUGCGAAAAGUAGUGAACUAAUUUGGCUUCUGUUAGCCUUCCACUUUGAACAUAUGGAUUUUUGCAAAAGACUUAGAAAAAUUGUUUUGACCAUUCAAAGACUUUAAGAACGAGUUGAAAACAUUUUCCAAACUUUUUAAAUUGAAAGAUAAACCUUCGAUAGAUCACAUUUGGCAAUAUUCCUCUCUUACGUUUU
rnacentral:misc_RNA from 1 species